rnacentral:tRNA from 1 species
GACUGCGUCGGUGUGGUUAAGGCGAUGGACUGCUAAUCCAUUGGGGUUUCCCCGCGUGGGUUCGAAUCCCAUCCCCGUCG